CCAUAAAAAAAGACCGAAGACGAUUCCUAUCUUCGGUCCAGGGAAAUGGCUCCUUGUGGGAGCCGUGCGCUAAAAGUUGGCAUUUAUGCAGGCUAUGUCGCCUUGCCCUUUAAAAGGUAGUACAGGCGCGGGGAUUUUCCAGCCA
rnacentral:sRNA from 1 species